AAUUUGAUUGGAAAUAAAAAAAAAUGAAAUUGAAUAAAUAGUAAUUUAUGAGACGAUUAAGGGACGGAUAAGAGAUGGAUGAUUGCAGGUUUCGACCCUUAGUUAAGAGUUGGAGUAAAAAAGUACAGUAUGACCCAUUAAUAUUAAUUUAAGGGACGGUUAAGGGACAUGAAACGACCUCAAACUUUCUCUCUCUCAAUAAUUUCUUUCUCCCCAAACAAGGCAAUUCAGCACCGCUUCACUCGGCGGCGCCGACACCACCAGUCACCGCCCUUGAAAUUCUUUCCGGAGGUGAGCUCGACGAAGUCAGCUCCUUCCCCUUCGCCUACUCUCUCUCGGUUUCUCCUUUUCAGACACCCAAAUCGAGGACCUCCGCCGUCGAUUCGCGCUGUUUCUCCGCCACCGUGCUGCAUCGCCGCUCGGCAGCAAUCGGCCCUCUCGGCUUCAACUAACUUAUGCAACUUAUGCAAAAUUUUUAUGUGAACAUGCCGAAGGAGAAGAGAUUUUGAAGCAGGAUGGACUGUACCUUUCUUGAGGCCGGGGAGUUGUUUGAAGAAACUCUCAUCUCUAUUCUCAGUUUUAUUUGCGAGAGUGAACUACAUGCGCUUUCAUUUGUUUCACUCCAGACCCCUGAUAAAAAAUAAUAUCGCCACACAUCUCUGGUGUUUAAUAUAAUCAUAUAUCAGAUUUUUUUAGACUAAAAGACCCUUCAGCCCUAUAAAGGGCAUUAUGGUCAUAUCCAAUGGAAAUCUGCUAUGGUAGGCUGCUGCACUGCAUGUACCUGCCUACUUAUUGUUCACUGCAGAGUUUUGUUCAUUAAACGCAGAAAUAUGUGAUAUACUAUUCAUUUAACCCUACCGUCCA